rnacentral:rRNA from 1 species
GACAGAGGGUGCAAACGUUGUUCGGAAUCACUGGGCGUAAAGCGUGUGUAGGCGGUCUCGUAAGUCGGAUGUGAAAGCCCCGGGCUCAACCCGGGAAGUGCACUCGAUACUGCGAGACUUGAGUGUCGGAGAGGUUGGUAGAAUUCUCGGUGUAGAGGUGAAAUUCGUAGAUAUCGAGAGGAAUACCUGUGGCGAAGGCGGCCAACUGGACGAACACUGACGCUGAGACACGAAAGCGUGGGGAGCAAACAGG